AAAGUGGCCCAUCGUCAUCUCUUCUAAACUCUUUGUUGUACUCAUUCAUAGGCAUUCUACUCAAGCAUUCCCUGGCCAAGGAAGAACAAGAGAAGUGCCUGCCAACAAGGACAAUGUUCGCAAUUUGCAUAAGACAGAGCAUCUCAAGAGCACGUAAUAUUUUGUGCUCUAAAUCAUUACAUCGGACAAGAACUGCUUCAGUUUCAAGUCACAUAAAGCAAGAACCUACGUCGACAAGGAUAGGAGCCACAAAAUUACUCCUUGUUUUGGCUCCAAGUAUCUACAUUGGUGGAUUGUUGGGAAAAAAUUUAGCCGAAUUCUUAGACGAGUGGAGUAUUUUCUAUCCCGAAUGUGACGACGAUGAAGAUGACUGAUCGAAAACACGCUGAGAAAAUCACAGGCAAGAGGACAUGCUUGUGAUGUCAAGUUUUACUAUUUUUAAUUAAUAAAAUUGUAGCUUAACGUUUUUACGUACUGAAUGAAAUUAAUUUCAAGUAGAAAAAUACUUUUUUUGAGAAAGAAUAGUUUACUAUGAUUAAUUUUUGAAGGUAUCAGAUCAUUUUAAAAACCUGGUUUAAAUGUAAGUUUUUUCCUUCUUAUUUCCAGGUAGCUUAUCUGUUGUAACUGAUAAAUGCAAAUGUUUUAUAUAUGUUGAAUUGUUAGUUUUACUUUUGAAAGUAUUGUUAAAAAUGGCAAAAUUAAUUUGUUUUCUGUAUUAUAACAAGGAAGAAUCUUGCCAUUAUUGUGUUCUGCUUCUGGAAUGUUUUCGUGUCUAUUACUUUUUAUACAUACUCAUCAGAAAGGACCUGGUUAAAGAGAAGUUGGUUUUAAAAACUCUGGAUUUUUAGCAGAUAUUAGGACGUGAAGUGAGCUACUAGGUUUAGUGAGAAGAUGUUAAGAUGGUUUCCAGGCUAAUUAAAUAUGGCCAUUUGUUUAGGUGGUUUUAA